GAUGAACGCUGGCGGCGUGCCUAAUACAUGCAAGUCGAGCGAACAGAUGAGGAGCUUGCUCCUCUGACGUUAGCGGCGGACGGGUGAGUAACACGUGGAUAACCUACCUAUAAGACUGGGAUAACUUCGGGAAACCGGAGCUAAUACCGGAUAAUAUAUCGAACCGCAUGGUUCAAUAGUGAAAGACGGUUUUGCUGUCACUUAUAGAUGGAUCCGCGCCGCAUUAGCUAGUUGGUAAGGUAACGGCUUACCAAGGCAACGAUGCGUAGCCGACCUGAGAGCGUGAUCGACCACACUAGAACUGAGACACGGUCCAGACUCCUACGGGAGGCAGCAGUAGGGAAUCUUCCGCAAUGGGCGAAAGCCUGACGGAGCAACGCCGCGUGAGUGAUGAAGGUCUUCGGAUCGUAAAACUCUGUUAUUAGGGAAGAACAAAUGUGUAAGUAACUAUGCACGUCUUGACGGUACCUAAUCAGAAAGCCACGGCUAACUACGUG
rnacentral:rRNA from 1 species